AGGUAGCAUGCUGGCUGGGGAAUUCUGGGAGCUGAAGUGCAUACAUCUUAAAAAUUGCUAAGUUUGAAAAACAUUGUUCUAAAUCAUUGACAGUUUAUUACUUGAGAAAAGAGAGAGGAAACAAGAUAUGGGAAAACAAGAUUAAAUAAAUUAAAAACAUGAGAUUUGAAGGCACCUGUCAAGUGAAGACAUCCAGAGCUGUUGGAUUCUGAUCCCAAGUUUAGGCGCUCUCACUUACAGAUUCUCAUUUGUAUGAAAAACAAAGAAGAGAACAACAAAUGAAGCAACAUUGUCAUUCCAUACUUUGCAGAACUAUCUGAAAAGGUCAGGAGGAUUUUCAACCAACACAACAUUCAUACUAACUCUGCUGUUGUUCAGAAGGAUGAUGGAGGACUUUAGCAAGGGAGAGUGUGAUCCCUCUCUUUUAGUUCAUCUGACUAUUACAUUUGCCAUUGUUUAUUAAUUUGAUUAUAAUUUGUUUGAUGUGAGCUACUUAGAAUCAUUGAGUGUCUGGUAGCAUACAAUUUUAGUUCAUCAUCUUCAUCACUGAAUGCAUUGACGGGCUUACACAUCACACUUAGAAUAUAAAAAUAUAUAAAAUAUCAAACUGUCUACCGUGAAUCUCACCCCAUUCCUAAGAGGUC